UCCACGCCGUAAACGAUGAAUACUCGUUGUCUGCGAUAUACUGUAGGCGACUGAGCGAAAGCAUUAAGUAUUCCACCUGGGGAGUACGUUCGCAAGAAUGAAACUCAAAGGAAUUGACGGGGGCCCGCACAAGCGGAGGAACAUGUGGUUUAAUUCGAUGAUACGCGAGGAACCUUACCCGGGUUUAAAUGCAGGACGUAAGACCGAGAAAUCGGUCCCCCUUCGGGCGGACUGCAAGGUGCUGCAUGGCUGUCGUCAGCUCGUGCCGUGAGGUGUCGGGUUAAGUCCCAUAACG
rnacentral:rRNA from 1 species